GUUUAAUAUGGCCGGUGUCAGUAAACGUCAGCAAAAAAAAAAAAGUAAUUAAAUUGUUGCCAGCAGCACAGUUACAGUGACCAACGCUCUGGAUAACGUGGAAACAGCCUAACCAGGUCUGCUAUGGUAGCUCAUUUGGAGCACACAGGCCAGUACCUAACGGUGAAGGACAACCAGGUGGUCCAGCUGCACCAGUCCUGUGUGCGAUAUACAAUGAGUUUGUGCUGACCACCAAGAACUACAUCCGCACCUGCACCGACAUCAAACCAGAGUGGCUGGUGAAAAUCGCCCCGCAGUACUAAGAGAUGGAUAACUUCCCCAACUGUGAAGCCAAGAGACAGUUGUAGCGCAUCGUCGCUAAACUCUCAACCAAGGAAUACUCUGUACUAACACUGUAGUGUGCACGAGAACAAUACCAUCACCACCAGCACUAAGGAACUCUGAACUCUUCAUCUGAGCCUUGAAUUUUCUUAUUUGUUACCACCUGUGGUCAUUGUGAUUAACAGGUGGUUGGCAUUCGGGUUGAUCCAGGUUGGGAAUGAGCGGUCAACACCAUUACCGUCAUUGACCAUGUUAAAGCAUAACCAUUUAUGUAGAUGUUGACUUUCCUCUUUAGAACGUGUCAACUCUUACCAAAAUGUACUUAGGUGUAGAAUGUCCAUGCUAAUUCAUUGAACAAACUUUGACUUAAAUUAAUGGAAAAAAAUACAUCUCAGCUUUGACGGUUUAGAACCUACCGUCUUGCUUGUUCAGACAGCUACCAAACUUUGGUAUUGGGGGGGGGGGGGGGGGGGGGGGGGGGGGGUUCGGGGGGUGAGCUCAGAAGGUUGAAAUAUUAAAUGUAUUUUAAUAGCAGCAAAGCAGGAAGUAAAAGAAGGAAGUGUACCCA